rnacentral:lncRNA from 1 species
UUCGACCGUCCUACGCCGCCGUGCUUGCUGUGUGUUCUUCUUUAAGGCAAGUGGGGGUCCAUAACUUCUCUUGCAUGUUGUUUUUGAUGGUUGCAUGUUAGAUUUUAGGUGUGGUUUGGGCGAAGAACCGAGGUAAGGAUUGCAUGUGUUCAUGUAAUGUGACUGUUUCCGUUCGGUUUGUGGUAGACAGUUUCUUAUUCGAGCUUGCAUGUGUAUUUGGAGUGUGAUUUUGGCUUCGGUGUCUUCAUAAAAGUUGAAGCUAACAUCUUGAGGUAUGACCUACUCGAAUUUCAUGGAAAACGAAGGUGAUAUGAGGGGUCAAAAGUUCUAUUUCACGGAGGCUUUAGAUCUGCGAAUUUCCUACUGACCUCGUGAUGAUUUCUUGGUUGCAUGUUGAUUUCUGUUGGAUAUCUCACUUUGUUGUCUUCAUGGAAGUUGUUAGUAACAUCCUAAACUACAACAUACUCAAAUUUGAAGAGAAAUGAACAAGUGUAGCCUAGUUAAUCGGCUAGAUCUUUGAGACGGAUGGUUCUGUUGAAGUGAACCGAGACACCCGAAACUUCAAGGACUUAAAAGAGGAUCAUACUUUGGUUAUUUAACCUAGAUCUCUUCAUGAAAUUUGUAAAGGACACAUUGAUACAUAACAUACUCGAAUUUCAGGAGAAACGAAAGAGAUUUGAUGGGUCAAACCUAAGUUUUUCGGUGAUAUGUACUCUGGACGAAACGGUAGAGGUUCCAGAAGCUUCAUGGAGUUGUAUAAAUUAAUCUAUAAAGAAUUUGGCUUAGAGUUCUACAUGAAAAAUGCACGAAAAUGUGUUGGCUAUCACCCUGUAAAAUUUGGGAAUUUUCGGAGGUCAUAUGAGUAUUUUAAUUGAAUUAAUUCGAAAACUGUGCAAUCUGGCCAUUUUCCGAAUAUUGUGGAAAUUUGGGAAAUUAUGUAAAAUGCAAAUUAGCCAUGGAUUUUAUGUGAAAUUUGAUUCUAAUUGUUUGUUUAAUGAUUGACUGAAGAUUAUGAUUUUUGGAAAAUCAUAAAUAUUAAAUAUAAUAUUUAUUUAUGAAAAUAAAUAAUAAUAAUAAAAUAAUAAAAUAAUAAAAUAAUAAUAAAAUAAUAAAAUAAUAAAAUAAUAAUAAAAUAAAAGGUGGAUUAUUUUAUUGGCCAUGAGUUCUAUGGAAUUAUGAUGUAUUGCUAUAUGACAUUGAUGCAUGUAUGAUCAUGAAUUAUGAUGUACUAAUAUAUGGCAUUGAUGUAUGAAUGAUCAUGAAUUAUGAUGUAUUGUUAUAUGGUAUUGAUGCAUGUAUGAUUACGAAUCAUGAUGCAUGUGUGUGAACAAUAUGCCAUGAAAUAAUAAGAUGAAAAGGAUGAUAAAAAGUGGAAAGUGAUAUGUGAGUAAGAGGUUGUGGCGGAGGAUGUUGUCUGGUGGCCUGGUGGCGUAAUUCCAGAGAUUCCCUGGGAGUUUCAGGAUGCCCGGAAUGUGGGGGGCCGGAAGUCCGGUUGUAUCUCGGAUACAUGCCCGGAAGUGACUCGCGAUGCCAGGAUUAGGGUGCGAGAUCCCCGGUUAGAAGGGUAAAGGCCGGAAGUCCCUGUCGGAGGUUUCUGCCCGAAGGGAGGUUCCUCGUGAUGCUAGUUGAGGUGCGAUAUGCCCGGAAUGUGGGGGGCCGGAAGCCCGGUGGCCAUGAGAUGGCUGGGAUACUGGGAACCCUGUCGGAGGUUUCUGCCCGAAGGGUGAUGAUCAAAUUGAUCAUGGAAUCCUGUCGGAGGUUUCUGCCCGAAGGAUUGAUAAUGAUACCUUGUCGGAGGUUUCUGCCCGAAGGGAUGGUGAUGAUUUGAGAAAAGAUAAUGUGGGGAUCAAUUGAUAAAUAAAAAUGGAAAUUGAUCUAUGAUGUGAUAUGCAUGGUGAUGCAUGGUUAAUGAUGAUGUGAUAUGCAUGGUGAUGUAUGGCCAAUGAUGAUAUGAUGUGAUAUGCAUGGUGAUGCAUGGUUAAUGAUGAUGUGAUAUGCAUAGUGAUGCAUGGCCAAUGAUGAUAUGAUGUGAUAUGCAUGGUGAUGCAUGGCCAAUGAUGAUAUGAUAUGAUAUGCAUGGUAAUGCAUGGUUAAUGAUGAUGUGAUAUGCAUGGUGAUGCAUGGUUAAUGAUGAUGUGAUAUGCAUGGUGAUGUAUGGCCAAUGAUGAUAUGAUGUGAUAUGCAUGGUGAUGCAUGGUUAAUGAUGAUGUGAUAUGCAUGGUGAUGCAUGGCCAAUGAUGAUGUGAUGUGAUAUGCAUGGUGAUGCAUGGUUAAUGAUGAUAUGUAUGCUAUGAUGAUGCAUGAAUACGCUUGUCAUCAAAAAGGUAAGUGAUGCCUGAAUUGUGUGAUGGUAUGCAUGGUGCACUGAGUUGUUAUUGGAUUUCCCUAUCUGCUGAGUGGUUGUACUCACCCCUUUUGGGGAUAACAUUUCAGAUUAGCACUAUGCCGCUGCCUGCUGUUUCGCGUGGCGUGUUUUACGGUAUUCCGUCUGACGUCAAGGUGGAGAUGACUGAGAUAGACUGUCCCUCGGUACCCGGAUUGACUUUUAUCCGAGUACGAUGCUUAGUCAUGUAUGAUAUCGGCCUGGCUGGGGGC